AUGACGGCGGCGGUGGCUCAGAGCCAUGAGUGUGACGGAGGCUGGGGAAAGAACGGAAACACUACUGCUCGCGAUGACAGGAUGGUGCCAUGUGUGCACUGCCCCAAGGCUGCAACUGCUUCCUCCAGUCGUCCCCCCUCCAUGGCUACAUCUUGGUCUCGCUUAGCUACUAGUAUAGUGCAGAUUGCUUUCUCUAUUCAAUUGAUUUUGUUGUCUAUGUAUUACCUGAACUCCAAGGGAACCAACUUACAUGGUGUAAUGGAUGGAGGUGUUAUUGGGGCGUCUUUUUUCAUGGUUCGAAACAAGAUGUUGCUGCUGUUGGAGCUCACAGAGAAUGGUAUUAUGAUAGUCUACUUGCUUCUGAAGUGA
rnacentral:rRNA from 1 species